UUAUUUCCAUCGUUCUUUUUUCUCUCUCUCUCUCUCUCUCUCUCUCUCUUAGUCUCUCUCUCUCUCUCUCUCUCUCACUCUAAUACACAAAAAAACCCUAAUAUCAUCAUCAAUCCUCUUUUCUCCCACAACAAAAUCGCAAUAUCACCAAAUCUCUGAUCCCGUCUUUUGAACACAUCAGGAGCUUCAAUCGCCAGCUUCUGAUGUGGGUUUCAAUACUUCCAUCUCAACUUUCUCUUCCAUCUACAAUAUUUCUUUCCGGCGAUGAAGGUUUCUCAUGAUUUUUUGUUGUACUUACAAGCCCUAGGUCUUGAUGCAUGAUGUGUGCGUAUCUUGCACCUGAUGCAUCCCCUCUCCCAGUACUGAUCAAGCUUUGGAAUGAUUGUUAUCCCUCCACUUUCCCCUGCGAAUAUGCUCCCACCUCCCAUAAUGUCAAACUCCUGAAACUGCCUCCACGAUUGAUUGAAGUUUUUGUCUGUUAGUCUUGAACCGAAAUCAGUUCCAUGAUUGAUUGAAGUUUUUGGAGAAAUCUCGGCAGUGAAUUUCGUUGAAUUCUAGUUCUGAAAUAUGAAGAUUUUAGCUUCGAAUCUUAUUGAAAUGAGCUGAAUCAUUAAUUGAAAAUUUCCAGCGAAGUAUCACUACUAGAAAAUCGCAAAUACGAUACACAAGAUAGAGUACGGUUGUGUAUUUUGACCGUACUCUAAUACAAUUUUAUAUUUUUGUUUUUUGUCCGCCUAUUUUUUUAAAUGAUCGUCAAAUAUGUUCUAUUUUUUACCUCCAGAGCACUCAUAUUUUCAUUUGCACGACUUCACCACUUCUCUUAGCGUUCACUCAUCAUCUCGUCACCAUGACCAUGAGACUAUCAUCAUCUUCGAGCCAAUGACUCCUCCUAUUCCCUUGCUAGUUUUUUCAAGAAGGAUGAGGUGACAAUUUCAAGUGCAAUCAGCAGAGAUUGAUUCUAGAAUGCCGAAAUAUUGGUUAAUUGACAAUGACUCACCUAUGUUGAAGCUACCUGGUAUGAAACAUUGUGUUUUGAUGAUUUUUCAAGGUAAUUUUGCAAAUAUACGACUGUUUAGUAGUUUACUAUUCCCAAAUCCUUGCAUUGUUGUGCAACUUUACAUUUAAAGGUGAUUCUGUUUUAGCAUCCAUGUAUCUUGAAAAUGAAUGCUUUAUGUUGUUUAUCAUACGAAAAAAGUAGUAUGAUACUUACACAUCCAUAAUCUUUUCAUUUUGUAUAUGAAUUUAGCCUUUAGCAUAUAUCAUUUUGAGAUCACUGCUAGCAUGCUUAUAUUUGGUGUUAUAUCAUGUAUGACAUCUUCAGGGGAAGUUUGUCAACAUUAGUUUUGCCUAUAUAUGCAACUAUUAUGAAUAUAAAGUAUUGUUUUGAGAUGUAUGUGUUCAAUAUUCACAUUUUAUUUAUAUCCACAUGAUUAUUAUUAUUAUUAUUAUUAUUAUUAUUAUUAUUAUUAUUAUUAUUAUUAUUUAAUAUCGUGGACUCACAUGCUUAACGGAAUCAAAGUCAUAGUUAACACAAUAUAGGCCAUUCCCCAACAUCAGCAACAAGUUAGUGUCAUUAUUCCACCAUGUAUGACAUCUUUUGUUAUUGUUGCUUGUUUGUUCCUUACCUAAAACCUUGCACAACAGGCUACUAUUACCAGUUAUACCCUCCAUGUAAAUUUGAUCUUUGAGCAUGACUAUUCAUAUGGUUUUUUCCCACUUCUUUGUAUAUAUGUAUAAACUUAGUAUCUUACUAAAUGUGUUUGGUUUAAUGUUACUCUAAUAGCCUUUCCUGAAAAUUACUAUUACUUUUUAGAAGGUUGGAGGUAACCAUGCUCAGAGUGUUGGGUUUUCUACUGAUGGAUUUACCACCACAGCCACUAUGAGGAAAUUGCAUCUCAUAUGGGUUUUCUGCAAAUGCAUAUUGAAGUAUACAUAUACCCUGCUUGGAGUAAUGUGAUUGGCAUGAUAUGAACAAACAUGCUAGCAAUGUUACCUACAUUGAUUAGAUGGGCUCUUGAGUAUGGAUCUAAAUAAGAAGCGAAUCAAAACCUUGAAGGGGAAACCGAGGUUUUCAGAUUUCAAUUUAGUACCGAAUGAUUGGGGAGCUGAUGUUCAUCCAUGGUUGAGUGUUCUCGCCAAAGCGUAUCCAUUCCUGGAGGAGCUGCGACUGAAGAGAAUGAUAGUUUGGUACUCAUUGCAGAUAUUUGAGUUGAGUUCAACAGAAGGGCCAGAAGUUGGUCUUUAUCUAUUCAGAAGAGUACCUCAUUCCAGAAUUCUUGUAUGUGGAGGAGAUGGGACAGCAGGGUGGGUAUUGGAUGCAAUUGAGAAGCAAAGUUACGUUUCACCCCCUCCUAUAGCCUUUCUACCUGCUGGAACUGGGAAUGAUGUGGCUAGGGCUUUGAAUUGGGGUGGUGGUUUGGGGUCUGUAGAGAAACAAGGAGGACUUUGCAUGAUGCUGCAACACAUGGAGCAUGCUUCAGUUACUGUUCUUGAUAGGUGGAAGAUUUCUAUUGCUAAUCAUAGGGGUCGACCUCUUCGUGCCCCAAAAUUCAUGAAUAAUUAUCUUGGUUAUUGUGAAAACUGUUCCUGUAAAACGUGGUCACAAGCUGAGAAUUACAUGGCCAAUGACACCUGGCAUUGAUCAUUACAUGGAAGGGCCAAGUAGGUAUCUUGGACACUUAAUUGGUCAUGGAGGAGAAGGAUCCCUCUUCUAUGUCUUGAAGAAAUUGGGUUGGGCAACAAGCUUGUCUGCUCGUGAAUCAGACUGGAUUGUGGAGUUCUCUUUCUUUAAAGUGGUUAUUGAAUUAACUGAUGUUGGACAUGCAAAUUGAUUAUCAGGACAAGAUUCUUCUAAUUGAUUAUGUUGUGAAAUUUUCAUCAAAUAUGCAGUUAUACCCUUCAAAAGAUUGGCUAGUUGGAUCAUCUUUACCUUCCACUUUUUUCCCCUGAAGUUAUUCAGUCUGCACUAAGUGAGAUCACACCAAACAAUGUAAGUAUGCCCUUCUGGUUCCAGAAACAUUUGGGAGUCAACAAACUUUGAUGGACAUACUGAGCUAACAGAGCCAUGGUAUGGAACUGCAUUUUCUAUUGAAAAAAUCACUGGCUCCAACAUUUAGGUAUAAAGUUGUGAAAGCAAGAAGUGGGGUAGGCCAUACUGUUGUUCUAAUUGAAGAUGGCCUUUCUUUCUCUGUUGGUUGGAACAAGCAUGGGCAACUUGGAAUAGAGUCAACCAAAAAUGAGUGUGAAUUAUCUCCAGUACGUUGUCUUAUAACGGAUGAAAAAGAUGUUUCAUGUGGGGCUACAAAAGGUGUUAGUGUUAGUGAUGAAAGCUUGGUUCAGAUUCAAAAAGUGUUGUAGAGCUAACAAAUGGUUCUUCAGAGGAUACUAAAGAGCAAAUCUUGCAAAGGAUAUUUUUUGUUUUGUUUUGCAAAGGAUACCCCUCACAUUUUCCCAAAUUACCCCUUCCUCUACAAUGUUUUUUUGUUUCUGUGUAUUUUGUGCAUCAGGUAAAGUUGGUGGAAGAAAGGAAUAUGAAUCCACUUGAUUCAAAUCUUGCAGCAUUAUCAGCAAGAUGCAGUAAAGACUUGGAGUUAAAUUUGGCUAAGUCAUUCUUGAAUGAGAUGGGCCAAUGUACAACUUUUUAUCCAUAUAACGGCUGUUUGGAGCAUUAGUCUUAAAGAAUUAUGAAAGGCAAGAUGCAACUUUACUUAGUUGGAAUUUGAUGUAGAGAGUGGAUUAGAUGCAAAUUUCGAUAUUGUAAAAAAUAGAAUUGUAUGACAUUAAAUUUUAUGCAAUGGAUUGUAUUUUUUGUAUA